rnacentral:lncRNA from 10 species
CAGAAACCUGGUCUUCCUGGGUAUUGCUGUCUCAAAGCCAGACCUGAUCACCUGUCUGGAGCAAGAAAAAGAGCCUUGGAAUUUGAAGACACAUGAUAUGGUAGCCAAACCCCCAGGAACUGCUUUCAGCAUCUUUUAUAUGUUUGUGAAGUUUUAUAAGUAUAUGCAGUGCCAAUAUACUUUUUCAGAAUUUGGCUAUUUUGGAACAUCAUUUUUUCAUUUUUCAGGACAGAUUUGCUGAUGGUGUUACUCUCACUUGAAAGCUAUUUUUUUUCCCAGGACUUUGACUGCAUCACACAGUUUCUUUCCGGCCUACAAAAUUUUUGUUGACAAUUCACUGGUUAUAUCGUAAGACUAUGUUUGUAUAUGACACAUCACUUUUAUCUUGUAGCUCCCAAGAUGCUCUGUGACUUUUGAAAUUGUGCUUAUAUAUGUAUUUGUUAUAAAUAUUUUGUAUGUAUUCUAGUUUGUUUGUUAAGCUUCUUCAUGUUUACAUUAUUUUUCUUACUGAGGGAUUUUUCAGGUAUUAUUUCUUCUUGUAUUUUUUACCCCCAUAAUUUCUAUUUUUUAAUUUUUUCAAUAUUUUUGUUCUUAUCUUCAUUUCUGAUUUUCUGUAGUCUGUGUUCCUGUUUCACUCAUUGAAUAUUCAAUUUUUUAUCAAUUUUUAAAAUUAAUGUGUACAUCUUUUCUAUGGUUUCCUUCUGAAAAUUUUAUAAUAUUUUUGAUGGAAUUAUAUUGCCCUGUUUUGUAUAUAUUGUAAUCUUUAAUUGAGAUUUGGACAUUAAAAAAAUC